rnacentral:rRNA from 2 species
GGGUGACUGCGUACCUUUUGUAUAAUGGGUCAGCGACUUAUAUUCUGUAGCAAGGUUAACCGUAUAGGGGAGCCGCAGGGAAACCGAGUCUUAACUGGGCGUUAAGUUGCAGGGUAUAGACCCGAAACCCGGUGAUCUAGCCAUGGGCAGGUUGAAGGUUGGGUAACACUAACUGGAGGACCGAACCGACUAAUGUUGAAAAAUUAGCGGAUGACUUGUGGCUGGGGGUGAAAGGCCAAUCAAACCGGGAGAUAGCUGGUUCUCCCCGAAAGCUAUUUAGGUAGCGCCUCGUGAAUUCAUCUUCGGGGGUAGAGCACUGUUUCGGCUAGGGGGUCAUCCCGACUUACCAACCCGAUGCAAACUACGAAUACCGAAGAAUGUUAUCACGGGAGACACACGGCGGGUGCUAACGUCCGUCGUGAAGAGGGAAACAACCCAGACCGCCAGCUAAGGUCCCAAAGUCAUGGUUAAGUGGGAAACGAUGUGGGAAGGCCCAGACAGCCAGGAUGUUGGCUUAGAAGCAGCCAUCAUUUAAAGAAAGCGUAAUAGCUCACUGGUCGAGUCGGCCUGCGCGGAAGAUGUAACGGGGCUAAACCAUGCACCGAAGCUGCGGCAGCGACACUAUGUGUUGUUGGGUAGGGGAGCGUUCUGUAAGCCGUUGAAGGUGGCCUGUGAGGGUUGCUGGAGGUAUCAGAAGUGCGAAUGCUGACAUAAGUAACGAUAAUGCGGGUGAAAAACCCGCACGCCGGAAGACCAAGGGUUCCUGUCCAACGUUAAUCGGGGCAGGGUGAGUCGACCCCUAAGGCGAGGCCGAAAGGCGUAGUCGAUGGGAAACAGGUUAAUAUUCCUGUACUCGGUGUUACUGCGAAGGGGGGACGGAGAAGGCUAUGUUGGCCGGGCGACGGUUGUCCCGGUUUAAGCAUGUAGGCGGAUGUUCCAGGUAAAUCCGGAACGUUAUUAACGCUGAGGUGUGAUGACGAGGCACUACGGUGCUGAAGUGACAAAUGCCCUGCUUCCAGGAAAAGCCUCUAAGCAUCAGGUAACAUCAAAUCGUACCCCAAACCGACACAGGUGGUCAGGUAGAGAAUACCAAGGCGCUUGAGAGAACUCGGGUGAAGGAACUAGGCAAAAUGGUGCCGUAACUUCGGGAGAAGGCACGCUGAUGGUAAGUGAAGCGACUUGCUCGUGGAGCUGAAAUCAGUCGAAGAUACCAGCUGGCUGCAACUGUUUAUUAAAAACACAGCACUGUGCAAACACGAAAGUGGACGUAUACGGUGUGACGCCUGCCCGGUGCCGGAAGGUUAAUUGAUGGGGUUAUCCGUAAGGAGAAGCUCUUGAUCGAAGCCCCGGUAAACGGCGGCCGUAACUAUAACGGUCCUAAGGUAGCGAAAUUCCUUGUCGGGUAAGUUCCGACCUGCACGAAUGGCGUAAUGAUGGCCAGGCUGUCUCCACCCGAGACUCAGUGAAAUUGAACUCGCUGUGAAGAUGCAGUGUACCCGCGGCAAGACGGAAAGACCCCGUGAACCUUUACUAUAGCUUGACACUGAACACUGGUCCUUGAUGUGUAGGAUAGGUGGGAGGCUUUGAAGUGUGGACGCCAGUCUGCAUGGAGCCAUCCUUGAAAUACCACCCUUUAAUGGCUGGUGUUCUAACGUGGGCCCCUAAUCGGGGUUGCGGACAGUGUCUGGUGGGUAGUUUGACUGGGGCGGUCUCCUCCUAAAGAGUAACGGAGGAGCACGAAGGUCAGCUAAUCCUGGUCGGACAUCAGGAGGUUAGUGCAAUGGCAUAAGCUGGCUUGACUGCGAGCGUGACGGCGCGAGCAGGUGCGAAAGCAGGUCAUAGUGAUCCGGUGGUUCUGAAUGGAAGGGCCAUCGCUCAACGGAUAAAAGGUACUCCGGGGAUAACAGGCUGAUACCGCCCAAGAGUUCAUAUCGACGGCGGUGUUUGGCACCUCGAUGUCGGCUCAUCACAUCCUGGGGCUGAAGUAGGUCCCAAGGGUAUGGCUGUUCGCCAUUUAAAGUGGUACGCGAGCUGGGUUUAGAACGUCGUGAGACAGUUCGGUCCCUAUCUGCCGUGGGCGCUGGAGAAUUGAGGGGGGCUGCUCCUAGUACGAGAGGACCGGAGUGGACGCAUCACUGGUGUUCGGGUUGUCAUGCCAAUGGCAUUGCCCGGUAGCUAAAUGCGGAAGAGAUAAGUGCUGAAAGCAUCUAAGCACGAAACUUGCCCCGAGAUGAGUUCUCCCUGACUCCUUGAGAGUCCUGAAGGAACGUUGAAGACGACGACGUUGAUAGGCCGGGUGUGUAAGCGCAGCGAUGCGUUGAGCUAACCGGUACUAAUGAACCGUGAGGCUUAACCUU